rnacentral:rRNA from 1 species
AUUGAACGCUGGCGGCAUGCUUUACACAUGCAAGUCGAACGGUAGAGGGGCAACCCUUGAGAGUGGCGAACGGGUGAGUAAUGCAUCGGAACGUGCCCAGUAGUGGGGGAUAGCCCGGCGAAAGCCGGAUUAAUACCGCAUGAGACCUGAGGGUGAAAGCGGGGGAUCGCAAGACCUCGCGCUAUUGGAGCGGCCGAUGUCAGAUUAGCUAGUUGGUGGGGUAAAGGCCUACCAAGGCGACGAUCUGUAGCUGGUCUGAGAGGACGACCAGCCACACUGGGACUGAGACACGGCCCAGACUCCGACGGGAGGCAGCAGUGGGGAAUUUUGGACAAUGGGCGCAAGCCUGAUCCAGCCAUGCCGCGUGCGGGAAGAAGGCCUUCGGGUUGUAAACCGCUUUUGUCAGGGAAGAAAUCUUCUGAGCUAAUACCCUGGGAGGAUGACGGUACCUGAAGAAUAAGCACCGACUAACUACGUGCCAGCAGCCGCUGUAAGAC